CCUACGGGGGGCUGCAGUGGGGAAUAUUGGACAAUGGGGGGAACCCUGAUCCAGCCAUGCCGCGUGUGUGAAGAAGGCCCUCGGGUUGUAAAGCACUUUCAGUGAGGAAGAACGCCUGGUGGUUAAUACCCAUCAGGAAAGACAUCACUCACAGAAGAAGCACCGGCUAACUCCGUGCCAGCAGCCGCGGUAAUACGGAGGGUGCGAGCGUUAAUCGGAAUUACUGGGCGUAAAGCGCGCGUAGGUGGCUUGAUAAGCCGGUUGUGAAAGCCCCGGGCUCAACCUGGGAACGGCAUCCGGAACUGUCAAGCUAGAGUGCAGGAGAGGAAGGUAGAAUUCCCGGUGUAGCGGUGAAAUGCGUAGAGAUCGGGAGGAAUACCAGUGGCGAAGGCGGCCUUCUGGACUGACACUGACACUGAGGUGCGAAAGCGUGGGUAGCAAACAGGAUUAGAUACCCCGGUAGUA
rnacentral:rRNA from 1 species